UACGUAGGGGGCAAGCGUUGUCCGGAAUUAUUGGGCGUAAAGAGCUCGUAGGCGGUUUGUCGCGUCUGCUGUGAAAUCUGGGGGCUCAACCCCCAGCCUGCAGUGGGUACGGGCAGACUAGAGUGCGGUAGGGGAGAUUGGAAUUCCUGGUGUAGCGGUGGAAUGCGCAGAUAUCAGGAGGAACACCGAUGGCGAAGGCAGAUCUCUGGGCCGUAACUGACGCUGAGGAGCGAAAGCAUGGGGAGCGAACAGG
rnacentral:rRNA from 1 species